rnacentral:rRNA from 11 species
GGAGCCUGUUAUAGCUUCUGAGGCAUCAGAUCCCAUCUGAUUUUAGGACCUAAUCAGGAUUAGCCCUGCGUAGUACUUGGAUGGGAGACUAUCAAUGAAUACUAUGUGGUAUAGUCUACA